UACGGAGGGUGCGAGCGUUGUCCGGAAUUACUGGGCGUAAAGCGCACGUAGGCGGCUUUGUAAGUCAGAGGUGAAAUCCCGGGGCUCAACCCCGGAACUGCCUUUGAGACUGCAUCGCUUGAAUCCAGGAGAGGUGAGUGGAAUUCCGAGUGUAGAGGUGAAAUUCGUAGAUAUUCGGAAGAACACCAGUGGCGAAGGCGGCUCACUGGACUGGUAUUGACGCUGAGGUGCGAAAGCGUGGGGAGCAAACAGG
rnacentral:rRNA from 1 species